AACGAACGCUGGCGGCAUGCCUAACACAUGCAAGUCGAACGAGGCCCUUCGGGGUUUAGUGGCGCACGGGUGCGUAACGCGUGGGAAUCUGCCCUUUGGUUCGGAAUAACAGCUGGAAACGGCUGCUAAUACCGGAUGAUGACGAAAGUCCAAAGAUUUAUCGCCAGAGGAUGAGCCCGCGUUGGAUUAGGUAGUUGGUGGGGUAAAGGCCUACCAAGCCGACGAUCCAUAGCUGGUCUGAGAGGAUGAUCAGCCACACUGGGACUGAGACACGGCCCAGACUCCUACGGGAGGCAGCAGUGGGGAAUUUUCCGCAAUGGGCGAAAGCCUGACGGAGCAACGCCGCGUGAGGGAUGAAGGCCUCUGGGCUGUAAACCUCUUUUAUCAAGGAAGAAGAUCUGACGGUACUUGAUGAAUAAGCCACGGCUAAUUCCGUG
rnacentral:rRNA from 1 species